rnacentral:rRNA from 1 species
UUUGAUCCUGGCUCAGAUUGAACGCCGGUGUGGAUGCUUUACGUUACGUCGAACGGCAGCACGGACUUCGGUCUGGUGGCGAGUGGCGAACGGGUGAGUAAUGUAUCGGAACGUGCCUAGUAGCGGGGGAUAACUACGCGAAAGCGUAGCCAAUACCGCAUACGCCCUUCGGGGGAAAAGCGGGGACCUUCGGGCUCCGCACUAUUAGAGCGGCCGAUAUCAGAUUAGCUAGUUGGUGGGGUAACGGCUCACCAGGGCGACGAUCCGUAGCUGUUUCGAGAGAUUGUUCAGCUACAUCGGGACUGGAAGAUACGCCCAGACUCCUACGUGAGCAGGCAGUGGAAUUUUUGACAAUGGGGAACUGAUCCAAAGCUACCCGCGUGUGCGAUGAAGGCUUUCGGCCAGGGAAGCACUUUGGCAGGAAAGAAACGGCACGGAUAAUACCCGUGCAACUGACGGGAAGUUCGUGAGAAUAAGCACCGGCUAACUACGUGCCAGCAGCCGCGGUAAUACGUAGGGUGCAAGCGUUAAUCGGAAUUACUGGUGGCGAAGUGCAGGCGAAGCCUGAGCACAUGGAACUUCAGAGCUUAACUUUGAACUGCAUUUUUAACUACCGAGCUAGAGUGUCAGAGGGAGGGACUCCGUGCGUGAGUAAAUGUGGGAUAUGUGAGGAACACCGAUGGCGAAGGCAGCCUCCUGGGAUAACACUGACGCUCAUGCACGAAAGCGUGGGGAGCAAACAGACGAUAUCUGUAGUUCAACGGCUCAACGAGGCCAACAGCUGUUGGGGCCUUCUGGGCCUUGGUAGCGCAAGCUAACGCGUGAAGUUGACCGCCUGGGGAGUACGGUCGCAAGAUUAAAACUCAAAGGAAUUGACGGGGACCCGCACAAGCGGUGGAUGAUGUGGAUUAAUUCGAUGCAACGCGAAAAAACCUUACCUACCCUUGACAUGGUCUGGAAUCCCGAAGAGAUUUGGGAGUGCUCGCAAGAGAACCGGAACACAGGUGCUGCAUGGCUGUCGCUGGGCCGCCGUGAGAUGUUGGGUUAAGUCCCGCAACGAGCGCAACCCUUGUCAUUAGUUGCUACGAAAGGGCACUCUAAUGAGACUGCCGGUGACAACCGGAGGAAGGUGGGGAUGACGUCAGGUCCUCAUGGCCCUUAUGGGUAGGGCUUCACACGUCAUACAAUGGUCGGGACAGAGGGUCGCCAACCCGGCGAGGGGGAGCCAAUCCCAGAAACCCGAUCGUAGAGUCCUUCGAUCAGUCGUAACUCCAUCCGUGCAGUUUCGGAACGCUAGUAAUCGUGGAUCAGCACGUCGCGGUGAAUACGUUCCCGGUCUUGUACACACCGCCCGUCACACCAUGGGAGGCAUUUUACCAGCAAAGAGGUCAAUCGUUAGAGGGCGAUUACCACGGUAGGAUUCAUGACUGGGGUGAAGUCAACAAGGUA